rnacentral:rRNA from 1 species
UACAUAGGGUGCAAGCGUUGUCCGGAAUUAUUGGGCGUAAAGAGCUCGUAGGUGGUUCGAUACGUCGAUGUGAAAAUCAGGGGCUCAACCCCUGACCUGCAUCCGAUACGGUCGAGCUAGAGUUUGGUAGGGGAGACUGGAAUUCCUGGUGUAGCGGUGGAAUGCGCAGAUAUCAGGAGGAACACCAAUGGCGAAGGCACAUCUCUGGGCCGUAAACUGACGCUGAGGAGCGAAAGCGUGGGGAGCGAACAGG